rnacentral:miRNA from 1 species
UCAAGUUAAGCUUCAAGCCAGUGUUUACACUCACCUGGCUUGAAGCUUAACAUGGG